AUCCAUUAUGGCAGAUUAGGGCUUGUAUGAAUGCAAAGAUAGGUAGAGGAUGCUGACCGUAGGAUUCUCAGACAUCCAUCUUUGUAGUUCUUGGAAUAAACCAUUGUCUUAGCAGGUUCUUCCUCCAGGGUUCUGUGAGCCUCAUCAGCUCGCCAUCGGUCUCACCUCGGUCAUCUAAUCUUGCGUUCUCUCAGUCCUUGCAGUCAUUCCUCUUGCCAUGAGAUUUCUGUCCCUGUUGCGUCCCCUUUGUUUGUCACGUCCUGUCCCGUGUCACGGGUGUCUGCACGUAUUUGUGCCGGAGCUGCUCUGCCCUGCCGCGUAGCCUGGUGUAAUAGGACGCAUCCUGGGGGCUUGAAAUUUGUAAUGUGGGGUGUAGUUGGAUUCUAGAUGGGAUUUGUAGAUGGACACAAGGUGCCUGGAGCAGUGAAGUUAUCCUGCAGCCCUUUGACUUUUGUCCUUUCUUUCAGAUCCAGGCGGAUGAAAUCCGUGGCAGAGCACCCCAUCCUGGCUGAGGGGCUUCCUCCGAGCAGGAAGUAAAGCUGGAUAUCAGCAGUCAAGGCAAUCCAUUUGGAGUAGGCCGAGCCCCCCCACCCCCCAACCGGCCGAUGGAUCGGGUUUACUGCUCUUGUGAGCCCUGUGCAGGUAUUGCAGGACUCUGUGAUGAAGCCCUGAACAUUUGUUUAAAGGUGCCAUCCGGCUGGCCUUUGGCAGCUGCCGAGGAGUUGCGGCACACCCUGCCAUGAUGGCAUCGGCCUCCAAGCGUUGCUGAAGCUAAUGGCAUUAGGAGACGCUAUGAGGCAGCAGCCCAGUGACAGCGAGAACUUCCCAGAUGGCAAGGCGGCCUUCUUUUGCGCCUGAUGCAGAUUGUCAUCCCCAGAUGUCUGAGAGAUAAGUCGA